rnacentral:rRNA from 1 species
UACGGGGGGAGCAAGCGUUGUUCGGAUUUACUGGGCGUAAAGGGCGCGUAGGCGGCGCAACAAGUCACUUGUGAAAUCUCCGGGCUUAACCCGGAGCGGCCAAGUGAUACUGUCGUGCUAGAGUGCGGAAGGGGCUACUGGAAUUCUCGGUGUAGCGGUGAAAUGCGUAGAUAUCGGGAGGAACACCAGUGGCGAAGGCGAGUCUCUGGGAUGAUGCUGACGCUGAGGCGCGAAAGCCAGGGGAGCAAACGGG